AUGCGGAGGACUGUCUGUCUCAGUUUGUCCGUCUAACUUUGACAAUGGAUCUGGACUCUCAGUACCCAUAUUCAUCCCCUUGCAUCUCUAUUCACACUCCACGUGGACUCUCGGAUGAUAAACUGCUCAGUUUACAGAGGAGUUUGCAGAUGGAGGCAGAGUCGUGUAUC